CGGGGAAUUUUGGACAAUGGGGGAAACCCUGAUCCAGCCAUCCCGCGUGUGCGAUGAAGGCCUUCGGGUUGUAAAGCACUUUUGGCAGGAAAGAAACGUCGCGGGUUAAUACCCCGCGAAACUGACGGUACCUGCAGAAUAAGCACCGGCUAACUACGUGCCAGCAGCCGCGGUAAUACGUAGGGUGCAAGCGUUAAUCGGAAUUACUGGGCGUAAAGCGUGCGCAGGCGGUUCGGAAAGAAAGAUGUGAAAUCCCAGAGCUUAACUUUGGAACUGCAUUUUUAACUACCGGGCUAGAGUGUGUCAGAGGGAGGUGGAAUUCCGCGUGUAGCAGUGAAAUGCGUAGAUAUGCGGAGGAACACCGAUGGCGAAGGCAGCCUCCUGGGAUAACACUGACGCUCAUGCACGAAAGCGUGGGGAGCAAACAGGAUUAGAUACCCUGGUAGUCCACGCCCUAAACGAUGUCAACUAGCUGUUGGGGGCCUUCGGGCCUUGGUAGCGCAGCUAACGCGUGAAGUUGACCGCCUGGGGAGUACGGUCGGCAAGAUUAAAACUC
rnacentral:rRNA from 1 species